rnacentral:rRNA from 1 species
CAGUAGCCACGGUAAUACGUAUGUCACAAGCGUUAUCCGGAUUUAUUGGGCGUAAAGCGCGUCUAGGUGGUUAUGUAAGUCAGAUGUGAAAAUGCAGGGCUCAACUCUGUAUUGCGUUGGAAACUGUGUAACUAGAGUACUGGAGAGGUAAGCAGAACUACAAGUGUAGAGGUGGAAUUCGUAGAUAUUUGUAGGAAUGUCGAUGGGGAAGCCAGCUUACUGGACAGAUACCGACGCUAAAGCGCGAAAGCGUGGGUAGCAAACAGGAUUAGAUACCCGGGUAGUCCCUGUCUCUUAUACA